GUGGAGUCAAACAAGUUUCUGCGACAAAUGCAAUCAACAGACAUCUGCUUCAAAAAUGUUUCACUUAUCAUAAAGGAAAACACUUUCAAAAUCAUAGAGACUAACAGAGUGUAGACCACUGAUCUAUAUAUAUAUAUAACUGGAUAGCUCAUGACGUCACAACAGUGAAGCUACUGCGCCGCCAUCUUGGUAUUCCCUAACGUUCUGUAUUCCUAUGGUCUCAAUGGGAAAUCGUCUGUUUUGGUGAGUAAUUUUUACCUAUCCAAUCACAUAAAAAAUUUUUUUUAUGUCUGCAUACACUGGAUCACAAUGCAAUCUUCCUAAAUAUGUAAUUCAUUAUUUAUUUUGACUGUCAUUUUCCCCCCUGCUUAUUCUAAAUGUGAGCGUGUUAUGUUACUCUUUAUUGCAGCAGCAGUACGUUCAGCGGCGCACGUGCGCACAUGUUUCAAUAGAAACAAGUUUAAGAAACUGAGUUCAGAUAUCAGUAGACAUUUUCAAACAUAUUUUUUGCAGGCUUUAAAGUUUUUAUUCUGAAUACAUAAUUAUGUUUUGUAACUGUUGUUUACGUUGAACGUGCAUUGUGGUUAUUUUCUUAGGAUAAAUGAAUAUUAGCUAUGCAGCUAAAGUUAACUUAGGAAAAUAACCACAAUGAAUAACAGGAUAACUCACCAAGUUAGCUUUUUUGGUCAAGCUGAAUAUCUAAUUGCAGAUCAACACCGGUUACAUAUGAUAAAUAUAAUGUGGGCUUUCAUUAAUUCUCUGUGUGUGAUUUGUACUUUUUGCAGUGCAGGCCUGAAUACGGUCCAGCUCACGGGCAUCAUUUAUAAAGUGAUCAAUUGGAAUAGACGAGGAGCAGGGCUGUACUGGUAAUCUGGCCUACCGGACAUUUUUCCGGUGGACCGACGCACUUUGGGGCCAAUCAGGGUGGACUGGCCAUCGGGAGAACCGAGCGGGCUGCUGUGUCAUCUGCGAUAAGCUAAAACGAGCCGCCGCGUUAGCGAACACUCUUCCCCCAAACAAAUUUUGGGCCAGUUAUUUCAAAUCCUGUUCCGAUUUCGCUUCCCAGUCCAGCCCUGACAAGGAGCACAUGGAUAUUGUUGAAGUUAAACAAGUACAAGCUUGCCCAGAGUUUUCUUAAGCCGUUUGGAGUGUGAUGCAGCACAUGUUUCCUUGGCAAUGAAGUGGAGCCUGAUGUUUGUGCAGCUUUCUGCAAUGCACUUUGAGUAUGAAGAUGUGAUUGUUGUAUGGUUCUAGGUUGAACAUGUUUGCCUCAAGUUCCUUGAAUGCAGAACCACCAUGGAGAUCCAGAACAUUUGUGGGGACAGAGAUGGGCCUUGUGAGUGUGUGCUGUUGAAGAAAUCUCUCAGCUGUCUUGCAGACUUUCAGGACGCUGUCUGACGGUCUUAUAAAUCCACCUCAGGACUUCAUGUCGAUCAGUGUGUUCAUCUUGGGAAGAGCUCUCGACACUGAGUGCUGAUAAACAGGCUGAACGUCACUGCCUGAAAUGCCAGCAUAUCAGAAGAUGCUGCCUCCAGUGUCACUGUGCUAUCCGGUGGAGAACUGUUGCCACUAGCUCUGAUGGCAUGUCUUGCUACCAUUCUUUUGAAAGCUGAAUACAUUUACAUUUACAUUUAUUCAUUUGGCAGACGCUUUUAUCCAAAGCGACUUACAAAAGAGGAAGAACAUCAGCGAAUCAUCUUA